UGAUGAUAACGAGGGAAACUUAUCAACAUUUAUUUGAACCUGUCCCAAGCUUGGUACAAGUUCUCACCACCUUUCUGCGUAAAGCUUAAAAUGUCACUCCUCAACUU
rfam:Solanum lycopersicum cultivar Heinz 1706 chromosome 2, whole genome shotgun sequence.